UUUAAAGGCAGGUGUUUAUGGCUAUAAACUUCUCUCAGAGAGAUGUUCCCAAUGCCUCCUGUAAAUUUCGGGCCCUCCUAGACCCAUCACUGUCGGGGUUUCUGCUGCCUGAAGGGAGGGACUCUAUUAUCCACACGGAAACUGGCAAAGAUUCAGCACAACGUGCAUUCACAAUGAAUGGAAUGCACUCCGGAACGCUCGGAAGGGGGAAAAAUAACCUGACACUGGCAGCACCUGACAGCUGUCACGGCCGCCUUUCACCCAACAUCUCACCCUUCCAUAAUCUUUAUGCUUUAGUUUUAUCUUACUCAUUUUUGUUUCCAACCUUUUAUAUCCUCAAUCAUUUCCUCUUUUUAAAAAACAAAUCACUUAUUGUAAAUACAAAGGGCAAGAUUAUGCAAGGUGAAGGAUUAUAAGGCAUAGUUCCUACCUUUAGGUGCUUACAACUGGGGGAAGCAGAUAAGACAACAGAUGGCAACAAAUAUCCAUAAAACAUCUCAAAUGUGUUUACUGCUACGUUAUACACUCUUUAUUGACUAUAGGUAAUUGGAAUUUUAUCUUGCAUAGAAAAAUGGGAUUUUUCUGUAAAUUCACUCACUCAUUCAAUACCUCCUUAUACACCACUUUGCCAGGCAGUGUGCAAGUGCUGGGCAAUGGGUAGUGAACAACACAGGGUCCCUGCCCCUCGAGGAACUUCAGAGUUUACUAUAAGAUAGAUAUAUGUAGAAAGAAAAGAAAAGAAAGAAAAAGAAAAUCCAACUGUGGCCACUUAUAACUCAUUUCUUAAAAAUAUACGUAGGGUACUUUUGGGCACUGUCAAUUCCCUUGGAGGAAGAACAAAUAUCCUGCUCCAGAUGAGACAAUGAAUCAAGAUUUUGGGAUCACUCUGGUGUAUCUGAUGCAAGGGAGGCAUAUAAGCCUACAUAUCCUGGACCAAAUCCUUCCUUUUAGUAACGACUUUAGGACUACCUGGAGGGAGAGUACUUCUGAAAUAACCUGCUCCUUCACAAGUGGCAUACCCUUGAAAGCCUGGUCUAGUUUUUAGUGAUUACUUUAUAAAUAAAGCAGAGAUUCUAUCCCACACCCCAUAAACUUAGUCCAAUAAGUGUCCCAAAGGUUAUUAUGUUACAAGCGGCUUAGUAUUGUUCCGUGCAUUGACUCUGUCUGUAGUCACCCUCCAAAGUAAGUUAGGAAAUAAAAGAGUAUACAUUUAGAACUGAAGCUUUUACAAUUGAGAGGUGCACUGAAGCAGCACCGAUCUGAUUUAUCUUAGAACCAGAAGUAAAAUACAAAAAUUUCCAACCAGCAGUUAAAACUGCUGCCUUGAAGAAAUAUACUUUUAUGCUUGCAUGCCAGCCCACCAGACUCCUGCUUUGGUUUAAAAAGUUCAAAGUUUGUUAUAAUACCACCAAGCACAGGAAAAGAGAAUGAAGAUAAAGUUAAGAUAUGUGAAUGAACACAAAAAAGCAAGCAAGCAAAUAAAUAAAUAAAUAAAUCUCCAUCAUGCUCAAACUAAAACUACUAUAAUCAAUGUGAAAGGUUUAUUCUGGCUCACACCAGGUCUGUUUGGUUACAGAAACAGCUUAAAAAGCAUCAAAGAAGAGUAAUUCUAUGGAUUACAACGAGAAGCUGCAAAAAAAGAUCCUUCCAAAGCCGGGGGGGGGGUCAUCUCUCAUAACUUCUUCAUUGUAAGAUGAAGACACUUUCGGGGUGCCUGGGUGGCUCAGUCAUUAAGCCUCUGCCUUCGGCUCAGGUCAUGAUCCCAGGGUUCUGGGAUCGAGCCCCGCACUGGGCUCCCUGCUUGGCGGGAAGCCUGCUUCUCCCUCUCCCACUCCCCCUGCUUAUGUUCCCUCUCUUGCUAUCUCUCUCUGUCAAAUAAAUAAAUAAAAUCUCUAAAAAAAAAAAAAAAAAAAAA